rnacentral:rRNA from 1 species
GAUGAACGCUGGCGGCGUGCCUAAUACAUGCAAGUCGAGCGAACAGACGAGGAGCUUGCUCCUCUGACGUUAGCGGCGGACGGGUGAGUAACACGUGGAUAACCUACCUAUAAGACUGGGAUAACUUCGGGAAACCGGAGCUAAUACCGGAUAAUAUAUUGAACCGCAUGGUUCAAUAGUGAAAGACGGUUUUGCUGUCACUUAUAGAUGGAUCCGCGCCGCAUUAGCUAGUUGGUAAGGUAACGGCUUACCAAGGCAACGAUGCGUAGCCGACCUGAGAGGGUGAUCGGCCACACUGGAACUGAGACACGGUCCAGACUCCUACGGAAGGCGGCAGUAGGGAAUCUUCCGCAAUGGGCGAAAGCCUGACGGAGCAACGCGGCGUGAGGAAUGAAGGUCUUCGGAUCGUAAAACUCUGUUAUUAGGGAAGAACAAAUGUGUAAGUAACUAUGCACGUCUUGACGGUACCUAAUCAGAAAGCCACGGCUAACUACGUG